AAGUUUCUGAAUCCUUGCCGAAGUUUCGUCUAAUACCAACCCUCUGGCGUUGAUGAGAUUUCCAAGAUAAGUGAAUUG
rfam:Schistosoma mansoni strain Puerto Rico chromosome 6, complete genome